rnacentral:rRNA from 1 species
CCUACGGGAGGCAGCAGUGGGGAAUCUUGCGCAAUGGGCGAAAGCCUGACGCAGCCAUGCCGCGUGAAUGAUGAAGGUCUUAGGAUUGUAAAAUUCUUUCACCGGGGACGAUAAUGACGGUACCCGGAGAAGAAGCCCCGGCUAACUUCGUGCCAGCAGCCGCGGUAAUACGAAGGGGGCUAGCGUUGCUCGGAAUUACUGGGCGUAAAGGGAGCGUAGGCGGAUAGUUUAGUCAGAGGUGAAAGCCCAGGGCUCAACCUUGGAAUUGCCUUUGAUACUGGCUAUCUUGAGUAUGGGAGAGGUUAGCGGAACUCCGAGUGUAGAGGUGAAAUUCGUAGAUAUUCGGAAGAACACCAGUGGCGAAGGCGGCUAACUGGCCCAUUACUGACGCUGAGGCUCGAAAGCGUGGGGAGCAAACAGGAUUAGAUACCCUGGUAGUCCACGCCGUAAACGAUGAGUGCUAGUUGUCGGCAUGCAUGCAUGUCGGUGACGCAGCUACGACAUAAGUACACUCCGCCGUCGGGAGGUACGGUCGCGAGAUAAACUACAANAGAGUAGUACGCGNGAGACGUGCGACGACGACGACGAGGGAGGAGG